rnacentral:rRNA from 1 species
UACGGGGGGGGGCAAGCGUUGUUCGGAAUUACUGGGCGUAAAGGGCGCGUAGGUGGCCUGUUAAGUCGAACGUGAAAUCCCCGGGCUCAACCCGGGAACUGCGUCCGAGACUGGCAGGCUCGAAUCCGGGAGAGGGAUGUGGAAUUCCAGGUGUAGCGGUGAAAUUCGUAGAUAUUCGGAAGAACACCAGUGGCGAAGGCGGCUCACUGGUCCGGUACUGACGCUGAGGUGCGAAAGCGUGGGGAGCAAACAGG